UACGUAGGGGGCAAGCGUUGUCCGGAUUCAUUGGGCGUAAAGAGCGUGUAGGCGGCCAGGUAGGUCGGUUGUGAAAACUGGAGGCUCAACCUUCAGAGGUCGACCGAAACCAUCGGGCUAGAGUCCGGGAGAGGAGAGUGGAAUUCCUGGUGUAGCGGUGAAAUGCGCAGAUAUCAGGAAGAACACCCGUGGCGAAAGCGGCUCUCUGGAACGGUACUGACGCUGAGACGCGAAAGCGUGGGGAGCGAACAGG
rnacentral:rRNA from 1 species